AUACAAUUACAAAGGCUGCUAGACAAGUUAACCUGUGGUCAUCUUUUUUAUGUCUUACAAUAAUUGGUGUCAUCGUCCCUCACCAUCACUGACAGUACAUGUGCAGCAUGUGCCCAAGGACAACUUUGUGGAACCUGAUAUUUCCUUCCACCCUUACAUGGUUACAUGGAGCAAACUAAAGUCGUCUGAUCUCACAGGAAGAACGUCUACCCACUGAGCCACCUGGCUGGCCUCUUGAACAAUGUUUCCAAGACAAAAGGUUCGAACCCAGUUAUACCCAUUGGAGGGUACAAUGUCCUUGGGAAAAAUCCAAGAAUCCCUAUCUUCUUGCUGAAUGGCAGGGAUACCCCACGCCCAGUGCUGCAACAUGACCUUAAGACCAGAGUUCGCCCUUCCCAGAGCAAGCCACGUCCUCCCUUUGAGUAAUGGAUCAGACAACCUCAACUCAAACACAAGUCACGAAGACUUAUCAGCACUGCCUGGAGUGGACAUGGGCGGGCACAGAGCGAGAGAACAAUGGUGCCCUGGCUGGAGGGACAGCGAUAUCAGGCUACCAUCAGAACAGGGCCAGCACUUGUUUUACUUUCUAUGGAGCCCGUGAGCUGGUUCCCGUGUACAGUACCAGGCGGUGUAAAAGGUAGCUGCUGGGUUCCUCUGUUUGUGAGGCCUGUUGAUACAAGGAGGGGUCCAGGUGCUGUUGGCUGAUUCCCGCCCUGUUUUCCUGAUAACCAUAAAUGAGAGAAACCCUACAGGUCCUAUGGCCCUGAGCUUGAGAGCUCUGAUUUACUGAGAAUAGAAAUAUCUAUCCCCUGACCCCUGUGACAGUUUGUGGAAUGCUACGCAAGGGGAAUUUUAAUAAGAAAAGGCAUUUUAGUGAAAUAUUACAAAAUGGAACAUCAUUAAGGACUGGAGUUGCUUCAGCACAUGAGGUCACAGCUCCUUACCUACCUAACUUUUGUCUCCUCCUAAUGUUCCAACAGCAUACUAUACCUGAGUUUCCAUCUGAAGGCUGGCCCAUUUUCCUGGUCUAUUCCCGUUUUCUCUAGUAAUUCAUAUGACCCAGGGAUUUUGGAAAGGAUUAUUGGAAGCUACUCAAUUUUUCUGGGAAUAAUAAAUAUUCUAGCCUCAUACAUAAUGUCACAUCAGCCUGGGGGCAUGGCUCAGUUGACGGAGUGCUUGCUUUGACCCCCAAUACCGUACAAACUGGGCGCAGCAGUACAAGGGUAACUUAAGCCCUUGAAAAGUAGAGGCACGAGGGAAGUUCAAGCUAUUGAGUUCAGGGCCAGCCUGAGCUACUUAAGACUCUGUGUCCAAAUAAGAAGAGCAAAGCCCUCCAUAUUCUGGGCCUAGUGGCAGGGAUCUAUAACCUUAGUCCCUGAGGAGCCUAUGAGACAGGACAGUUUCGAGUUCAAGGCAGGCCUACAGAGUGAGCUCAAGGCCAGUCUGGGCAACCACAGGCCGAUAGUGAAACACUAUCUUAACGUAAAAAGGAAAGAAAAAAGGAAGUUUGAGAUAAGAGCUCAGAAGUAGAGUACUAGCCUGACAUGUACAAGACCCAGGAUCAAUCCCAAACACCACACACGCACAUUCACUCACACUCACACACAGUCACACUCAUGCCCACAGGCAUGCACACACACUCACACAAACAAGUCAAGCUUGGUGGCAUAUAGCUACAAUUCUAGCAUCCAGAAGGCUGAGGCAGAAGGAAC
rnacentral:sRNA from 1 species